AGACCAAGUGCUCCCGAGGGGACCAGCGGCCCGUGUGCACCCUCUGGGACAGCCCUGGGCUGGGCCGGGAGAAGCUGGGCAGAGGCCUUUGGAGCCGGGCCUCCUGACCACAGCCGGGGACGGCUGUCACGGUCACUGCUUAUCCAGUAGAUGUGGUCCCUGGUGUGACCCCCUCCAAUGUGACCUUCCAGGAGUGGAAGCCGUUCUUCAGCACCACCCCCCUCCUCCAGAGGCUCGUGAGACCCCAACUGUCCCCGGGUGCCAUCGCCCAGAGUGCUGCCCCUGCUUGCUGUAUUUCUGCUUCCUUCCUGCUGGGAGCCAUUAGCCAAGUAGGUAUGACAAUUUCCUUGCCAGCGUACCCCAUGUUGCAGUGACAUUGAAUGUAGGUGACCUUGCUCAAGGACCAGGGCGGAUUAGGGUGUUCCCGGUUUAGGAUAAUUGGGUUUAGGGCGUUCCAGGUUUAAGAUUAUUCCUCCUGGGAAUAGGGCGUAUCCUGCUGUCUGAGUUCCCCUUGAGUUCUCACGGGAUUCAGAGUAUUCUUUGGGAGAUAGAAGCCCAGUGGAGGUGGAUUUGGGCAGAGAACGUGGAUUUCCCCAGAACGUGAUUGUAAAGUGCUGGUGUGAGUUCGGGAAUAAAGAGUUGCUGUUUGAAUCUACAAGCUGUGUGGUGGCUCGUGA
rnacentral:lncRNA from 1 species